GCAUAUCAAUAAGCGGAGGAAAAGAAACCAACAGGGAUUGCCCUAGUAACGGCGAGUGAAGCGGCAACAGCUCAAAUUUGAAAUCUGGCCUCGGCCCGAGUUGUAAUUUGUAGAGGAUGCUUUUGGUGCGGUGCCUUCUGAGUUCCCUGGAACGGGACGCCUUAGAGGGUGAGAGCCCCGUAAAGUUGGACACCAAGCCUAUGUAAAGCUCCUUCGACGAGUCGAGUAGUUUGGGAAUGCUGCUCAAAAUGGGAGGUAAAUUUCUUCUAAAGCUAAAUACCGGCCAGAGACCGAUAGCGCACAAGUAGAGUGAUCGAAAGAUGAAAAGCACUUUGAAAAGAGGGUUAAAAAGUACGUGAAAUUGUUGAAAGGGAAGCGCUUAUGACCAGACUUGUGCCCUGCGGAUCAUCCAGCCUUCUGGCUGGUGCACUUCGCUUGGUUCAGGCCAGCAUCGGUUUUCUGAGGGGGAUAAAAGCUUCAGGGACGUGGCUCCUCCGGGAGCGUUAUAACCUGUUGCAAAAUACCCCUCGGGAGACCGAGGUUCGCGCAUCUGCAAGGAUGCUGGGCGUAAUGGGUCAUCAGCGACCCGUCUUGGAAACCCGGGACCCAUAUCAUU
rnacentral:rRNA from 2 species